ACUCCUCAAGUUUACCACAAUCCGGUUCAACAUCCAAGCACAUGACUACAGGAUCUGUCGUGCGUGUCUGCAAACCAUCUAAGAAAGUUAUCUUGUCUGAUAAAAAAGGGAGCAGAUAAACGCCAAGAGGCGAGCUGCUUAUCGGAGGAAAAAAGAGGAGGAAGCAUAAAAAGUACAGCAUGGAAGUCAACCUGACCUUUCAAUAUCUGAUGACAAGAAAGAGCUAAUAAAUGUGCGGAGGCGGGCAACGUAUCUUAAGAACAAGGAAAAUGCUGACAUUAACAAGGAACAGAUGAAAGCUCCGUUGGUAGAUGGUUAUCGAAGAAAAUAUGAUGACGCCGCCGGCAAGCAUCUCCAUCAAAAUAUGCCUGCCGUUGACAUGUCGGGUAUGCAAAAUGUUCCACGGAGCGCUCUCGGUGAUAUCACUAAUGGGGUACAAGCUCACCCUAUGCUCCUUGACGACAAAAAUAGCCAGAUCAAGGCUCAAGGGCGAGCUACCGUGAAGCACAAAGAUGAUAACCUUCC